CUCAUUUCAUGGGAACGACCUGAGAUUGCAAUCACGGCUUCAAUUUUUGAAUUGCAGAAUAAUUAGAUGGACUAUCUAGUGUAUAAAAGAUAUCUAUGGACAUGAUUGACAUUAAGUUAUAUAAGUAUAAGUAGGAGGUCUGUGUUCAUUCAGAAAAAUUUGCCAAACUUUGUUAAUGUUCUGAAUAUAAUGGAGAAAAUACGAAGAAGAAAAACAUUAAUGUUUUGGACCAAUUUAUAUUUAUUGUAGAAAUAAUUUGGAUUUACUCCAUGUGAGAUUAUAGGGUUUAGUUGAUCUGCUAGUUCGUCUGAAGAGAGAACUAUCAAAGUGUUGAAAAUGCAUUGAAACUCGACCAAGGUCUACUAUUAUAGUGUUAAAAAAUCAAUUUUUUUUAUAUAUUUAUAUAUUAUAUUAUACUGUAUGCAAUGUAUAUACCAUCGAGCAUUAAAUAGAAUCAAAUACACUGUUUUAUAUAUU
rnacentral:lncRNA from 1 species